rnacentral:rRNA from 1 species
UACGUAGGGUGCAAGCGUUGUCCGGAAUUAUUGGGCGUAAAGAGCUCGUAGGCGGUUUGUCGCGUCUGCUGUGAAAACUCGGGGCUUAACUCCGGGCUUGCAGUGGGUACGGGCAGACUAGAGUGCGGUAGGGGAGACUGGAAUUCCUGGUGUAGCGGUGAAAUGCGCAGAUAUCAGGAGGAACACCGGUGGCGAAGGCGGGUCUCUGGGCCGUAACUGACGCUGAGGAGCGAAAGCGUGGGGAGCGAACAGG